GCCGGGGUAGCUUAGCCUGGUCAAAGCGCCCGGCUCAUAGGGCUACUCCCCCGUAGAGGGGGAGCCUGAGAAACCGGGAGAUCCGGGGUUCGAAGCCCCGCCCCGGCACCA
rnacentral:tRNA from 1 species